AUUGCUCUAUCUUUUUCAGAGACGAUGAAAAGUGUGGGCGUUGCGAGCACCACUGUGGUCUGACCUCAAACUUCAAAGAAGAGGAGGGCUACAAACCAAAUGUUAAACUCGACUACACAGAUGAUGAUGGACAUGUACUUAAUGCAGAGGAGGCUUUCAGAUACCAGUCUCAUGAAUUUCAUGGAAAGGGACCUGGCAAAAAUAAAGUGGGGAAGCGAAUGAAGAAAACUGAACAGGAGGGAGGCAACCAUCUCAAAAACCAAACUGCAAAUUCUUCAUGAAAUGUGCUGGCACCAACUCUCAACUUUGGCGCGGACUUAUGUUUUUAUUGUUUCUUACUGUCUGGAAUAUCAUCUCUAUUUUUAAAUAAGACACAGCUUGCAGCUGCCAACAGUGUCUAUGUGUGCCGGAAGGAAGACCACAGAGUUCAUGUCUCAUUCAGAUGAGUACAGUGGUUCUCCUGCUUCCUUAGGUAACCUGUUGGCACCUGUAAGCUGAAAAGUACAAUUUCUAGUGAUUAGUUGCUUGCUUAUAGGACUUGAGACAGAUGAACAGCCUCUAAGCUAAAACAGACAUGAAGUAAUUAUAUUUGGUGAACAGAGUUCAUGGAGGUAGGCCUAGGCCCACUGGGGCUGUAGUGCCAAGAGAAAAAAGAAAAGAAAAAAAUAUAUUUGGCCUUUCCUGAUUGCAGUAGCAAUACUGUAUCCUUCCAAGGGAAGAAAGAAGCCCUUGUUGAGCUGUAGACCAGUAUGAAAGGCUGUAAAAUUAUACAAGCAACAGAAUCAGAAGAUGUACAGUCUACUGCAAAUCAUUGUAAAGCACCACUGAUAUAUCACUGAAACAUUUGUAAUGUGUUAUAAAAGUAACUUGGUUCAUCCUGGUCCGUUGCACUAGUAAAUGUAUACAAGGUUUUUAACCACUGUCCAGUGUGAUUGAUAAAAGUCGUUUUUAAUUUUUUAUACUUUACAUGUUUUGGUCAAAACGACCAUCUUCAGAAGGAUAUUAUCAACACGUAUGGAAACUACUGUUUCACGUUAUUACAGUUAGUCUGUUUACAAAAUAAUGUUCAGUAUUUGUUUUAAACUAGAACCAAUGUGGUUUCUUGUCCUUACACUUUUGUAAUAAUUUUAGAUGUUUUAACAAAUCACUGCACAUCUUAAUAUUAGUUAAAUGAUAUAACAUAUAUAUCUGUGACGUAACAGUAGUUUCCGUAUGUGUUGAUAAUAUCCUUCUGAAGAUGGUCAUUUUGACUGAAACAUUAAAAACGACUUUUAUCAAUCGCACUGGACAGUGGUUACAAAUCUUACAUGUGGUUAUAAAAGUCCUGUGUUUAAUCCACAUGCAGAUGAUGAAGAGUCUUCUGUAGGUAUACAAAAACUCGAAAGACACAGAGACUUGGCCAAUAAUGUCAGGUCAUGAAACUGUGUAAAACUGAUCUUAAGGCAUCUUCUUGGAGGUGGUGAUAAUGAUUUGAACCCAAAAUGAACAUAUCAGUUGAUGCUGAACAUUAUCUGAAGUCUGAAUUGUAAUCCUGAUGUGCUACUAAUCUUCACUUAAGUAGGUACACGGACAGACUACAGGUGUUCCCAAACUUGCAUUUUUCUUGAUAUCAGUAAUGCAUAACUGUAAGCUGACAACCUCAGUCACAUAUGUUCCAGCCACCUAAUUAUUUAAGACAGUUUCAAUAUGUUUUAGUCUUUGUUAAUAUAAAUUAACUUGAAAUCACCUUAUUACAAAAGUUGUUACAUUUGUGUAUUUCCUCAUGAAAUACGGAUUAUAAUUUAAAGCAUGUACACCUACUCCAUUAGGUGCAUGCAGAAUAUGUUGUUCAGUUAGUGCAGUUACUUGCAAGGUUGGAAUUAUGUGUGGAGUUGAUUUUAGUUUGUAACAUUCUCACUCAGAGCAGUCUGCUUGUGGUAAUUGAUGGUCAUUACUAUCCGUCCUUACCAUAGGUAAUUAAUUUUUCAGAAAAUGGUUUUCAAACAAAAGGUAUGACACACCUAUCAAUAGAAACUGAAGAUUUUGUUUAUUGGUCAGUAUCCUGUUGAGAAAGAUAACAAUAAAAUAGUUUUGCUUGGUGUAGUAUUUAAAUGUAUAUCAUCUUUAGGAAAAAUGAUAUAAAAAUGCUUAAAUUUCAUGA